rnacentral:tRNA from 1 species
GAGGAUAUAGUUCAAGUGCUGGAGUACAUGCUUAGCAUGCAUGAGGUCCUGGGUUCAAUCCCCAGUACCUCCU